UCUGAACCACUGAACAACGGUUAAGCUAAGCCGAGCAACGGUCAACUGGGAGUAUUCGACUCGCGCAAUCGGUCCCCGCGGUACGAUUGGCUUCCCGUCGCCAUUAUCGACAGGGCUGGUCAACAUACAUUUGUAAAUAUUCUCCGGUCAUGGAUGAACUCAGAAUUCGGAGAAUAUACCGGGUUAGAUUAUUUUCAUGUCAUUGAGUACUGUUAGUACUAACGAUAGGUAUGCCUAUAAAAUAUUGCCACUGAGAUAUCGCGAAUCCAAUAAAUCGCAAAGAAAUAAAAUCGCGUGACAAAAAUAUCGUUCCUAUAUUAUUGA